rnacentral:ncRNA from 1 species
AAAACAGUCCUUUUAAGGACUACCCCACUGACGCUUAAAAUUCAUA